rnacentral:rRNA from 1 species
CGCUGGCGGCAUGCCUAACACAUGCAAGUCGAACGAGACCUUCGGGUCUAGUGGCGCACGGGUGCGUAACGCGUGGGAACCUGCCCUUAGGUUCGGAAUAACUCCCCGAAAGGGGUGCUAAUACCGGAUAAUGUCUUCGGACCAAAGAUUUAUCGCCUUUGGAUGGGCCCGCGUUGGAUUAGCUAGUUGGUAGGGUAAAAGCCUACCAAGGCGACGAUCCAUAGCUGGUCUGAGAGGAUGAUCAGCCACACUGGGACUGAGACACGGCCCAGACUCCUACGGGAGGCAGCAGUGGGGAAUAUUGGACAAUGGGCGAAGGCCUGAUCCAGCAAUGCCGCGUGAGUGAUGAAGGCCUUAGGGUUGUAAAGCUCUUUUACCCGGGAUGAUAAUGACAGUACCGGGAGAAUAAGCUCCGGCUAACUCCGUG